rnacentral:rRNA from 1 species
AGAGUUUGAUCAUGGCUCAGAGCGAACGUUAGCGGCGCGCCUAACACAUGCAAGUCGCACGAGAAAGGGCUUCGGCCCCGGUAAAGUGGCGCACGGGUGCGUAACACGUAGGCAAUCUACCCUCAGGCGGGGGAUAACGUUCCGAAAGGAACGCUAAUACCGCGUAAGACCACGUCCAGUCCGCUGGAUGUGGCCAAAGCUGGCCUCUCCAUGGAAGCUAGCGCCGGAGGAUGAACCUGCGGCCCAUCAGCUAGUUGGUAGGGUAAUGGCCUACCAAGGCGAAGACGGGUAGCUGGUCUGAGAGGACGAUCAGCCACACUGGCACUGAAACACGGGCCAGACUCCUACGGGAGGCAGCAGUGGGGAAUCUUGGUCAAUGGGCGCAAGCCUGAACCAGCGACGCCGCGUGAGUGAUGAAGGCCUUCGGGUUGUAAAGCUCUGUGGGGAGAGACGAAAAAGGUGCGGUCGAACAGGCCGCGCCCUUGACGGUACCUCCUUAGCAAGCACCGGCUAACUCUGUGCCAGCAGCCGCGGUAAGACAGAGGGUGCGAACGUUGCUCGGAAUUACUGGGCGUAAAGCGCGUGUAGGCGGACCGACAAGUCACGUGUGAAAUCCCCGGGCUCAACCCGGGAACUGCACGUGAAACUGUCGGCCUUGAGUGCCGGAGAGGGUGGCGGAAUUCCUGGUGUAGAGGUGAAAUUCGUAGAUAUCAGGAGGAACACCGGUGGCGAAGGCGGCCACCUGGACGGCUACUGACGCUGAGACGCGAAAGCGUGGGGAGCAAACAGGAUUAGAUACC